rnacentral:rRNA from 1 species
GACGUAGGGCGCGAGCGUUGUCCGGAUUUAUUGGGCGUAAAGAGCUCGUAGGCGGCUUGUCGCGUCGAAUGUGAAAUCUCAGGGCUCAACUCUGACAUUGCAUUCGAUACGGGCAGGCUAGAGUUCGGUAGGGGAGACUGGAAUUCCUGGUGUAGCGGUGAAAUGCGCAGAUAUCAGGAGGAACACCGACGGCGUAGGCAGCGCCCUAAACGAGUUCUGACGCUCAGGCACGAAAGCUGGGGGAGCAAACAGG